rnacentral:rRNA from 1 species
UACGUAGGGGGCAAGCGUUGUCCGGAAUUAUUGGGCGUAAAGCGCGCGCAGGCGGUUCUUUAAGUCUGGUGUCUAAGUGCGGGGCUCAACCCCGUGAUGCACUGGAAACUGGGGAACUUGAGUGCAGAAGAGGAGAGCGGAAUUCCACGUGUAGCGGUGAAAUGCGUAGAGAUGUGGAGGAACACCAGUGGCGAAGGCGGCUACCUGGACCAGCACUGACACUGAGGCACGAAAGCGUGGGGAGCAAACAGG